GAUCAUGGCUCAGGACGAACGCUGGCGGCGUGCCUAACACAUGCAAGUCGAACGGAGUUAAGCUCUUCGGAACUUGACUUAGUGGCGAACGGGUGAGUAACGCGUGAGGAACCUGCCUUUCAGUGGGGGACAACAGUUGGAAACGACUGCUAAUACCGCAUGACACUUUUGGGAGACAUCUCCUGGAAGUCAAAGCUUUAUGUGCUGAAAGAUGGCCUCGCGUCUGAUUAGCUGGUUGGUG
rnacentral:rRNA from 1 species